AAAGUCGUAACAAGGUUUCCGUAGGUGAACCUGCGGAAGGAUCAUUAACAAGAGUUUAUGCCCCCUUAUGGGGGUAGACCUCCAACCCCUAUGUUAUGUUAACUUUUUGUUGCUUUGGUGGGUCGUUAAAAAAAGUUAAACUUUUUUUCCAUUGGCUUUGGCUAAUGUGUUACCCGCCAGAGGAAAUCAAAACUCUGAAUUUUAUAAGUGUUGUCUGAGUUUUCAAUUAAAAAAAUAUAAAACUUUCAACAACGGAUCUCUUGGUUCUG
rnacentral:misc_RNA from 1 species